AUGAAAUCUCUGCUGCUUUUCCUGUCCCUGUUCUCUGCCCCCUCCUGUGUCCUCUCCCAGGUGCAGCUGGUCCAGACCGGCCCGGGAGUGGUGAAGCCUGGAGAGACCCUCACCCUGACCUGCGCGGUCUCGGGUUACUCCAUUACCAGUGGUUACAGUUGGAGCUGGAUCCGGCAGCCUCCCGGGACAGGGCUGGAGUGGCUGGGGCGGGGAUAUUACAGCGGUUCCACCUGGAACACGAACUACGCCUCAUCUUUCCAGAGCCGAAUCACCAUCUCCACUGACUCCUCCAAGAACCAGUUCUCCCUGCAGCUCCGCUCGCUGACAGCUGCAGACACCAGCACCUAUUACUGCGCCAAACACAGUACUGAACUGAUUUACCUUCUGAUGUCUUAAUUCAGGCCGUGGAAAUUCUCCCUGCUGACUUUCUCAUCCCAUAUUCUGUUAAAAGGCCGAGUCACCAUGUCUGCAGGCACUGUCAAGAGCCAGGUCUCCCUGCAGCGCCGCUCGCUGAGAGCUGCAGACACCGCCACCUAUUACUGCGCCAGGAGGCCCCCACAGUGA